rnacentral:rRNA from 1 species
UACAGAGGGUGCGAGCGUUAAUCGGAAUUACUGGGCGUAAAGCGCACGUAGGCGGCUUGGUAUGUCGGGUGUGAAAUCCCCGGGCUCAACCUGGGAACUGCAUCCGAAACUGCCUUGCUAGAGUAUGGGAGAGGGAAGUGGAAUUUCCGGUGUAGCGGUGAAAUGCGUAGAUAUCGGAAGGAACAUCAGCGGCGAAGGCGACUUCCUGGACCAAUACUGACGCUCAGGUGCGAAAGCGUGGGGAGCAAACAGG